GACCAAGCGCAUGAGAGAGAGAGAGAGAGCUGCAAAGGAGAAGUGCAGUUGUAUGUGCAGGACCCUCUGUCUGUGGGCAAAAAGUGAAGAGGCAAAUUAGCUUGUUAUCCCCCAAAGAAGCUUCACCGUCACAGAGAAGAGAUAGGAGGCAGAGAAGAACACGUUGGUUCUCUGCGGAUUUAAAGGUGACAUGACAAGCCUCUUGUCUCUCAAAUCUCUGCUUGUUUCUGACAGCGUUUCACAGCUGUGAGGGGAGAAUUUGGUGUUGGGUGCUUGACUCUGUUCACAGGAUUGCUGGAGGACUUACAACAAGAGGGGAUCGAGGGCAGGAGAACGAACAAGAGUCUCCUAAUCCCCCCUCUGACCUACAGAUCCAAACAACAACUUUGCUGGGAACAUCUUUCCCGAGAGCAUGGAUGGAUAUACAACAAUGUGCUGAGGAUUUUGUUCAGGAAUAUUGACAGCACACUCCUUUGACACUCUCCUGACAACAUUUCACAGCCAGUGUUCCUGCCAUGUCCUGGUUCUUGUGUCUGUGGAUAAGUGUUAGCUGCUUACUGCUGUGCCACGCCACUUUGUUCGAGACCAUCCAGCAGCAUCAUGUGACCCGCCCAGGCCACAACGCCAUACAGAUACUGGAGGGAGGAACGUGCGAGGUCAUCGCAGCACACAGAUGUUGCAACAAGAACCGAAUUGAGGAGCGCUCCCAAACAGUCAAGUGCUCGUGUUUACCGGGAAAAGUGGCCGGCACGACACGGAACAAACCCUCCUGUGUAGACGCCUCCAUCGUGAUUGGGAAAUGGUGGUGUGAGAUGGAGCCGUGUCUGGAGGGAGAGGAGUGUAAGACACUACCAGACAACUCCGGCUGGAUGUGUUCCUCUGGAAACAAAAUCAAGACCACAAGGAACACCCAGCCAUAUUCAAGUUUUUAGCUCUGAGGGCCACACAGGCUGGCUCACCAGAAGCUCAGCGGCAUCCUUCGUCUCAUUAAGAUUCAUCCCCGGACCUAACAAAGUGCUCCUUCACAGGCAGUGAAUGUGGAUUCUAUCCAUGAUCUGAUCUAUGUCAAAAUGGACUAAACCAUUGCAUCUAAGGGGUAUUUGAGUGGAUUACCUGUGAAUGAACAUAAAAAGGACAUUCUUAGAAAUGAUUUGCUAAUUUGGUGCCAAGGAAUAUUUAAAAAAUAAUUGAAAUAAAGUAGGCUAAUCUGUGUUUUUUGAUCAGUGAGCCCAUAGCCGUGGACUCCAGUAGCCAUGUUCAAUUCUCUCCAAUUCUCUUCCUCUGAAUUUGAACAGCUUAGUGGGGCCGUUUACUGGAUUUAAAAUUAUUUUUGAAGACUUUACCACACCUUAGGUAAACUGGACAAUCCCGAUAUAAGCUGUGAACGACUGUACAGAGGAUCACGGAGGAUAAGCACUGGUCUAAGAAAAUGAGGUGGAAAUCAAUAAGAGAUUUGCAGUCCACAAGUUUUUUCAUUCCUCUAUCAUUUUGUCAUUUCGCUAUCCAUGCUGGCUUUGUUAAUAGACUGGGAGCUUGUGAAGCCCUGCUAUUUGUCCCUACUUCAGAUUUCCCGCUCACCAUUAGAGCCCACGCACUGUCUGUUUGGAAUGGCCCCAUGGUCAAAGGUCACCUUACUGUCUACACCAACUUUGGCCAGAUAUCUUUUUAUUUGUUGGCAUGCUCAAUGUAUUUUGUGGGAGCUUUGUAUUGAAAUUAACUGUAUAUAUUUCUGUACAUACACAUACAGUAUAGAUACAUAUUAAAAGAUGUCAUACGAAGACCUAACAUGCCCUUAAACCUGUUUAAUGGGUUUAAAUUUAGAUAAAUGACCGUAUUCAUGGUUUGGUUCCAUAAGAAGUACAAAUAAUCCCCAGUUUAAGGCUUUCUGUGAAAAAUACAUGUUCUCUUGGUGUAGUGGAUAUUCUACAGUUUUUGCCUGAAAGGAGAUUCUAAUCUUGUUCCAUUGCAUCCUUGAUGAAAAAACGAAGAUGCAUGUAUGAUAGAGGCUGGCCCUAAAAAGGCCACAGCCAUUGGAACACAGAUUGCCAUUGAUAGGCAGUUCUUAUUCAAAUUCAGUCCAUGCUCCGAGUUUGUUCCAUGCUGUUUUGAGAAUAGGUAGACAUCAUCAUGCUUGUGUAGUUUUCAUAAAGACAACACAAUAGAAGACAUUCUGCUUGUUAAAGGUAUGCUGUAAUAAUCAAGCAUUGAAUCUGUAUUUUAGUUUGGUAGGAUCACAUCUAGAUAAUGCUUGGCACAAUUACAAUUAUCUAUUGUGCCUCCACAUGAAUUUUCAGGGGAAUUACCAUUCAAAUAUGUUAUUCUCACUGUUAUUCUCAUUAAAAAUGUUUUUGCUUUGUUGUGUAAUGUGUUUUCCAAGAUGAAGGAGAGCAGGGAAAUUAAUGGGCUUCAUUUCUCUUUUCUGGCAUCCGUACAGACAUGCAAGUAGCCCUGGUAGAUAAACAUGCAGCC